CCUACGGGAGGCAGCAGUGGGGAAUAUUGCGCAAUGGGCGAAAGCCUGACGCAGCGACGCCGCGUGAGGGAAGAAGGUUUUCGGAUCGUAAACCUCUGUCAGCAGGGAAGAAAGGUCACUGUGCUAAUCAGCCGUGAAUUGACGGUACAUGCUAAGGAAGCACCGGCUAACUCCGUGCCAGCAGCCGCGGUAAUACGGAGGGGGCGAGCGUUAAUCGGAAUUACUGGGCGUAAAGCGCUCGUAGGCGGUAUGUCAAGUCACGGGUGAAAGCCCCGGGCUCAACGUGGGAACUGCCUUUGAAACUGUGAAACUGGAGUGCAUGAGAGGAUAGUGGAAUUCCAGGUGUAGGGGUGAAAUGCGUAGAUAUAUGGAGGAACAUCAGUGGCGAAGGCGACUAUCUGGCACGUAACUGACGCUGAGGAGCGAAAGCGUGGGUAGCAAACAGGAUUAGAUACCCUUGUAGUC
rnacentral:rRNA from 1 species